GGGAAAUUUUCCGCAAUGGGCGAAAGCCUGACGGAGCAAUACCGCGUGAGGGACGAAGGCCUGUGGGUUGUAAACCUCUUUUGUUAGGGAAGAUAAUGACGGUACCUAACGAAUAAGCAUCGGCUAACUCCGUGCCAGCAGCCGCGGUAAGACGGAGGAUGCAAGCGUUAUCCGGAAUUAUUGGGCGUAAAGCGUACGUAGGCUGUUUCAUAAGUCUGUUGUCAAAGCCCGAGGCUCAACCUUGGAUCGGCAAUGGAAACUGUGAGACUAGAGAGAGAUAGGGGCAGGAGGAAUUCCAGGUGUAGCGGUGAAAUGCGUAGAUAUCUGGAAGAAC
rnacentral:rRNA from 1 species